rnacentral:rRNA from 1 species
GAUGAACGCUAGCGGCAGGCCUAACACAUGCAAGUCGAACGGUAACAUAGAUUGCUUGCAAUCUGAUGACGAGUGGCGCACGGGUGCGUAACGCGUAUACAAUUUGCCUAUUACUGGGGGAUAGCCCAUAGAAAUGUGGAUUAACACCCCAUAAUAUUAUUGUCUCGCAUGAGACUGAUAAUUAAAACUCCGGUGGUAAUAGAUAAGUAUGCGUCCUAUUAGUUAGUUGGUAAGGUAACGGCUUACCAAGACUGCGAUAGGUAGGGGGUCUGAGAGGAUUAUCCCCCACACUGGUACUGAGACACGGACCAGACUCCUACGGGAGGCAGCAGUGAGGAAUAUUGGUCAAUGGAGGCAACUCUGAACCAGCCAUGCCGCGUGCAGGAAGACGGCCCUACGGGUUGUAAACUGCUUUUAUUUGGGAAGAAACCCACCUACGUGUAGGUGGCUGACGGUACCAAACGAAUAAGGACCGGCUAACUCCG